rnacentral:sRNA from 1 species
UGCUUUCGCUUUUGCUUCAAGUGUGGUU